rnacentral:rRNA from 1 species
GACGUAGGGUGCGAGCGUGUCCGGAUUUAUUGGGCGUAAAGAGCUCGUAGGCGGCUCGUCGCGUCGACCGUGAAAACCCGCGGCUUAACUGCGGGCUUGCGGUUGAUACGGGCGGGCUAGAGUUCGGUAGGGGAGACUGGAAUUCCUGGUGUAGCGGUGAAAUGCGCAGAUAUCAGGAGGAACACCGGUGGCGAAGGCGGGUCUCUGGGCCGAUACUGACGCUGAGGAGCGAAAGCGUGGGGAGCGAACAGG